UGGGGAAUUUUUCGCAAUGGGCGCAAGCCUGACGAAGCAACGCCGCGUGGAGGAUGAAGGCCUUCGGGUUGUAAACUCCUGUCGACCGGGACGAAAGUAGUCCGACCUAAUACGUCAGGCUAUUGACUGUACCGGUGGAGGAAGCCACGGCUAACUCUGUGCCAGCAGCCGCGGUAAUACAGAGGUGGCAAGCGUUGUUCGGAAUUACUGGGCGUAAAGGGCGCGUAGGCGGUCUUCUAAGUCUUGUGUGAAAUCCCUCGGCUCAACUGAGGAACUGCACGGGAUACUGGAUGACUUGAGUUCGGGAGAGGGAAGCGGAAUUCCGGGUGUAGCGGUGAAAUGCGUAGAUAUCCGGAGGAACACCGGUGGCGAAGGCGGCUUCCUGGACCGAUUACUGACGCUGAGGCGCGAAAGCUAGGGGAGCAAACGG
rnacentral:rRNA from 1 species